AUACGGAGGACGCGAGCGUUAUCCGGAUUCAUUGGGUUUAAAGGGUGCGCAGGCGGCCGUGCAAGUCAGCGGUGAAAGCCCGGGGCUCAACCCCGGAAGUGCCGUUGAUACUGCGUGGCUGGAAUGCGGUCGAGGCGGGCGGAACGGGGCGGGGGGCGGGGGAAUGCGUCGGUAUGCCACAAAACGCCGAUAGCGGAGGCUGCUCGCCAGGCCUGCAUUGACGCUCAGGCACGAAAGCGUGGGGAUCGAACAGGAUUAGAUACCCUGGUAGUCCACGCCGUAAACGAUGGGCGCUCGUCGUCGGCGGCAGACAGUCGGCGGCCAAGCGAAAGCGAUAAGCGCCCCACCUGGGGAGUACGGUCGCAAGGCUGAAACUCAAAUGAAUUGACGGGG
rnacentral:rRNA from 1 species